AACGUAGGAGACAAACGUUAUCCGGAGUUACUGGGCGUAAGGGGCGUGUAGGUGGUUUCGUAAGUCUGGCGUGAAAUUUUUCGGCUUAACCGGGAAAGGUCGUCGGAUACUGCGGAACUAGAGGACGGUAGAGGCGUGUGGAAUUCCGGGUGUAGUGGUGAAAUGCGUAGAGAUCCGGAGGAACACCAGUGGCGAAGGCGACACGCUGGGCCGUACCUGACACUGAUGCGCGACAGCAUGGGGAGCAAACAGG
rnacentral:rRNA from 1 species